UACGGAGGAUCCAAGCGUUAUCCGGAUUCAUUGGGCUUAAAGGGUGCGUAGGCGGACUGAUAAGUCAGCGGUGAAAUCUCUCGGCUCAACCGAGAAACUGCCGUUGAUACUGUUAGUCUUGAAUGCAGAUGAUGUGGGCGGAAUAUGACAUGUAGUGGUGAAAUACUUAGAUAUGUCAUAGAACACCAAUUGCGAAGGCAGCUCGCUACACAUAUAUUGACUCUGAGGCACGAAAGCGUGGGGAUCAAACAGG
rnacentral:rRNA from 1 species